UAGGUUGUGACCUGCGACAAGUUAAUAAUAUUGAAAAGUGGUUCUUCUACAGAGGGGAAAGAUUCAGCUGUGGGUUGUCAUUAUGUAAACACUCAGACUGUAAGCCACAGAGCAGCAGUUCAAUAAUGAAGUCUGCUGAGGAAUGUCCUACUACAGAGUGAUAGUGCUGAAAUCCUCCUGGAGACCGAGCAAUGAUCACACCGACAGCUUAGCCACCAAUUCUUGCCUCUGCGCCUGUGGGAGCGAUGCUCAGUGGUGGUGUGGCUGAGGUAGGCCUCGCUUUAUUCCCAACAGCCGAUCCCUGGUCUGGGAGUUUGGGAUCUACGGAUGAAAUAACCCUUCUGAAUUUCCAAGUCAAAGAAUUAGUAUUCUUGCUCUGUGGUCUGGGAGUUACUUAAAGGAAAUUUAAAUUUGAGCUUAAAACACUGUGUUGGCUGUCAGCUUUUCAGCUUCAGAUUUACAUAUGAAAAAGAGGACAUAAUCAGAAAGGAUGGUAUGCACUGCUGGGAAAUUGUGUUAGAUGUGUGGUGCAGGGUAGUUUUCAGAAAGGUUGAGCCUGUCAGAUUAUUAGAUAAAUUGUGAAUUAAUCUGCAUGUUACUUGGAGUUUAGUACAAAGAUUUUGUGUGAAUCUAGACUGGUUGUUCCUUGCACCACUGUCAGACGGUUUCGUUAUUUAUUUAUUUUUUUUACAUGGAAUUAUAAAAUGUAAAGUCCUGAUCUUGGAUGCUUAUUCCAGAUGUGUUCGAAUCCAUUCCACAAUGAAAUCAUUUGGGUCUUUUCAUAGACAUCUCAAGGUUACAUUGUAUUCUAAGUAAUGCCAAUAUUUCAGCUAGACAUUCAUUUUAUACCAUCUUUCCUACUGCUCUUAUAUUUGUUCAACACAAAGUUUAAAUAAAAUAUCAGACUUGACAAAUAACAACAUAAGAAUCUUACAGUAUACACUGCAAAAAUAUUUUUAAUCAGUAUUACUCUCAUGUUUUCCAAUAAAAUAGUGAAACAUUUACUUUGUGAUAAAUAUUUUAGAAUACAUUGAAUCUUUAAUUUAAGGUUUAUUUUUUAUGAAAACAAGUCUUAUUAUCUUAUGUAAUUUUCCUUCUCAAGUAAAUGUAUUUUUUUCUAAGGAUGUUAAUAUAAAUUGAUUGGAAAUUGAGGCAUUGAUAAUUACAAUACGAAAGCUUCUUCAUAAUUAAAUUAUGAGUGUAAUUCCUGCCUAUUUAUAUUAUUGAUAAAAUGAUUACACAAAUAUUUAAAAAAUUUAAUUUCAGUUUGAUUUACUUUACCCUUGUUUAAAAAUUAUGACACAC